UUAAACUAGGAUUAGAUACCCUAUUAUUUAAAAAGUAAAUGUUAAUACUAGAGUAGUAAUAGAUAUGAUCUUCAAACUUAAAGAAUUUGGCGGUGUUUUAGUCUAUUUAGAGGAACCUGUCCUGUAAUCGAUAAUCCACGUUGGACCUUACUAAAAUUUGUUUUCAAUUUGUAUAUCGCCGUUAUCAGAAUAUCUUAAAAGAGUAAUAAUUUUCUUAAUUUAAAAUUAUAAUUGAUGUCAGGUCAAGGUGCAGUUUAUAUUUUAGUAGAGAUGGGUUACAAUUUAAGAGCGACGGGCGAUGUGUGCAUGUUUUAGAGCUAUAAUCAAUAAAUAUAUCCUUAUUUUACUUUUAAAUCCACCUUAAAAUCAUUAUUGCAAACAAUUUAACGUUUAAAUAAAUUUAUUGUAACCCAUCUCUACUAAAAUAUAAACUGCACCUUGACCUGACAUCAAUUAUAAUUUUAAAUUAAGAAAAUUAUUACUCUUUUAAGAUAUUCUGAUAACGGCGAUAUACAAAUUGAAAACAAAUUUUAGUAAGGUCCAACGUGGAUUAUCGAUUACAGGACAGGUUCCUCUAAAUAGACUAAAACACCGCCAAAUUCUUUAAGUUUGAAGAUCAUAUCUAUUACUACUCUAGUAUUAACAUUUACUUUUUAAAUAAUAGGGUAUCUAAUCCUAGUUUAA
rnacentral:rRNA from 1 species